rnacentral:piRNA from 1 species
CUUUGCGUGUGCACGCAGCUCAGAA